GUUCCCUGGUGUAUGUAAGGGAUGGAGGUAAGGCCUUCUCCAGGCAGUACAACAGCAUCUUCUUCAUUUAUCAUGUGGCAAACUUGAAUGUUCCCUAUGUGCAUCAAAAACACCUAUACCACCUUAUCCCAUUACUGUUUGUUUAGUGCAUGACUUCGAACGCUCAAAUGGGAGGUGAAAGACAGCUCCCCGAGCACCCCACACUUGCGCUGCGGCCCCGGCUCCCCCUCCUCGCAGCACCACCAUGCCCAAACCACCCCUCGCUACCCCAUGCCAGACGCAGACCCCAAAGCACGCUCACAAGAAAUACAAAAUAAACCGGUUUUUAUUUUCCACAGAGCCGUGCUGCAGCACCCUGAGGCCAGCGGCGCCCACCCGCGCCUCGCCUCAGCGGGAGAUGGCCGCAGCCGUGAGGCUCCUCGACCCCACACACGACGGGGGAAGGGUCACGAGCCCCCUCGGCUCCCCUCACGGGCAGCCCCCACCUCACGGCACCGCCCCUCGCCGAGGACUGGAGCGCGCAGCCCCCAGGCGUCCCCUCACAGCCGAGGGGGCAGAAGGGGUAGAGGAGCCGCUGCCCUCCCGCCCGCCCCUCGGGGAGUGGUCGGCGGCCCACGAAGCGCCCGCCCUUCACGGCGCAGCGGCUGCAGGGAGGCUCCGCCGCUGCAGCCCCCGGCCCGCCCGCCCCUCACAGGGGUCGCGGGCGGCCGCCCCCCCUGAGAGUACCGGGCUCCUUACCCCCCCAUAUGCCCAGCUUGAGCUGGGACUUGUCCAGGUUUUCCACAUAGUCGCCCAGGAAGCGGUUCAGCAGCGCAUGGAAAAAAAUCAUUGCUGUUAAUCUAGCUGUCCAAGUGACAUGAAUACUGGCAGACAGGGAACACAAACAAGAAUAUUGAUCCUGAAAAAUGCAUCCUUCAGGGAGUUGAUGCCACUACAGAGAAAGUAGAUGAGAACAUGCAGCCCUGUGUGGUGAAUCCGCAGUAUUGGCUGUUCAAAUCUAUCAAAUCCACUUGUAUCACAGGGAAUCGUCAAUGCAAGAAAACGAGAUGCAAAAUUGUGCACAGAGCUCCUGCUGUUAGGAAGCAGAUCAAAGGCUUCUUGAAAGAAGGGGAGUACUUCCUGAAUGGUUCAAGUGCAUAGCAACGUGAUGUAAUUCAUAACAUAAAUGCAAUUUCUGAAUGUUCCUCUUAUCCUGGAGCUUGGCAGGAACUCUAUUUCACUGGCAAUUGCUGGUGGUAUUUCAGCAGGGAGGCAGUGUUCCACUGUGCAGCGCCAGCCCUGUAAUGCUGAAGAUGUGCCAGACUUUUCGAUAAAAGGGACCUUGUUCUGCUUCAGCUUCACCCUUGUCCAGCAUCAUGCUGUGACACUUGGAGAUCUUCCAAGAACUUGUGUCACAGGCCCUGCUAGAGCAGAAGCCAAAGUAGCCCAACUACUACACAGCUUUUGUGCUGUAACUGAGCUUUUCCCAUGCAUGCCUAUUUAGGAAGUUACUACUGAAUAUGAAAAGGCAUUUAAAGCAUCUCCAUCCAGAGGCACGUCUGAAAUGCAUGUUGUUUUUUUUUUUUCCACUACUAAAUUUAAGUGAAGAAGAAUAUAAUAGAGGAAGAAGCAGGAGAUGAAAUUUGGUUUGGGAGAGUACCAAGGAAGGAGGAAAAGAAGCUGCAACUAGCAUCUCCUGAACAGGUCACAUAAAGAUGGAGAUGCCCUUCACUGAAAUGCAACCAUGAGACUCCAGCUGCAGGGCCAAAACACUACCUGCUGCACAAGUUUAUCUGAGAAUAAAUAAGAUAGUGCAAGACCUGCAGAUUGUUAAAUGAAGUUAAUAGCAAGUUCAGAAGAAGGGGAGGCAUUUCUUCCAUGUAAUAUGCAGCUAAGGUCUGAUGGUACAAUAGUUUUGAUGCAGCCUGGGAAAUGUGUUAACUGCGGGGCUGCUGAACCUAACCGUCAGACUUCCCUCAAGAACCUCAGUCAAACUGCACCAAGAAGUGUCAGGGAGUUCCCUGGCUGAGAGGCACAUAGAGGUAUGUUUGCAAAAUGUUCUUCAAUGCAUUUCACCAGGGUGCACAUGGAGGAGGGACACUACUGCCCAUGUCUGAUGCAGCAGUUAACUCUAAAACAUCCCAAAUAAGCCUGGUGUAGCUGACAGCCUGGCUAGGUAAUGUCUGGAACUGCUGUGGGCCUAUGAAUAAGCUACCUUCAUAAGCAUUACACUGAUGUUCAAUCACUGAUCUCGCGUGGGGGAAUCUGUUUGCCUCUGCUUUGAAGACUGAAGCUGCCUUGAGCAGCUGACACAACACCUGAGCAAUUACAUGCUAAUGUAGGAAAAGUCAGAAAUACAUGUAUUCAGCCUCACAUUUCAUCAGUCAGAAAAACACACUUUCAUCCCCUUGUUCUUCCUUGUAAGUAUAUAUUAGAUGUUACUUUUAAGAGUGAAACAUGCCAUUAGGUAUUGCUUCUGGUGUCAUUUCUAAGUUAGCUUUGUUAAAUUAAUCAUGAUAAUGCACUGGUGCCUGGACUUCUUCAGCGGCAUCAUAAGUGAUGAAUCAACCUAUUCCAUGCACACUGAGCAGGGAUGCAGAGCCUGGAUGCAUGCUUCCCACUCACAUGUACAGAGUAGGGUUCUGCUACGUUUAUCAGUCACAGAUAUGCAAAAUAAUUGUGGGUGGCAGUUUGGAGGGGAGGCUCAGAAAGUGGGUGGCGAAAGAAACAUUUAGUAAAGGCACAUAGUGAACCAGCAACUCCAUCAGCUUUUCUCCAUGCGAAGUUAGCCUGUCAGUACUAUGGCCCUGCUUUUUUUCUUUCUUUUUUUUUUUUUCCUAGAACUCUUUUAAAUUCAUGGGAGAUAUAAAGAGGCCUAAUUUUAUUUCCUUAAACUUGCUAUGGCACAGACUGCUUGUUCCAAUGGGAUGUAAUAUUUCAUUCAAUGAAGGGGAUAACAAUUAUGUUUUAAGAUGUACUCUAAUAUCAAUGGUUUCCUUGUUAAAUGUUUUGUGCUUCAUAUACCUGAGGGAUCCCCUAUGUAGGGGAUUUUGUUAAUGUUUAUAUUUCUGUGAGUUUGAAGUCGACUUGGUGUGCAAGCAACCUGCAGGUGUCUUUUUGCAUGAUGUUCUGUGUUUUUCUCUCCGUUUGCAUCUUCUUACCUCUCUCGUCUUUUGUGGUUUACAGAAAUUUUGGUAGCAUGGACCUGUAUGGGUUGAACCAUAUUUAUGUAGCUAUCAGAAAUCUCCUAGCACCUACCACUACUCAGUGUAUAAGAGCAUUGCCAACAAGUCAUGUUGCAGUGCGUUGCCAGCUCUUUCCAAAGCAAAUGAUUGUUACACACAUCUUCAACAUCAGUUACCAGGGCAACAUGGGGCACUUACGUGACAAUCCAGUAGUUUUACAUAGCCCAAAAUGCUCCUGUCAUUAAAAAUUAAUCCAACUGGGGCUGAUCCCCAGAUUUCCUUAUGAUGUAUCACCUAGAAAACAAUCUUCCAUUUAGGUCUUUUAAAAAAUUGUUUCCAAGAGAAUAAUAUACUCUGAGAUAUUACAUGUUUUGUUUCAAGGCCCAAUCCUCCAUUCAAUAGGCCUAGAUUUCUGUUGCUGCUUCUUUUAUUUUAUUGUAUUUUCGUAGCUAAGUUUUCUUGGGAGACCUAUAGAAACCCAUGCUGCUUUCUGUUUGUCUCAUGGACUAUACAACGUGAUAGGUGAAAAUAGCGUAAUAUUCAGGUUACUCAGCCCAAUUUAUCCACUUAAGUCUACAUACACUUACAAAGAUGGCACAGAACAACUUCAGAUUACUGUUUUCCUGCAUACAGCCCACAACUGAAAUGUCCAGCCUCUUCAGAUAACCCUCACUUAAUGAAAUGGGAAAGGAGAAGAGGCACACUGAGGCAGAUGUAAAAGGCUGUAUGGUAUCAGAGGAAGAGGGACUGAUGGAAAUUAAAGAGGAGAUGGUGAACUUUGUCUCCUGUCACACAAGGGAAGAUAGUCAUUACCGCUACUACCACUAACUCAGUUUUGCUUCUUUUAUAAUAAAAAGAAUGGUACUCAAAUGGCAGCUGUAAGCCUGAUAUAUUAGAGAGCAUGGUAAACUGAAGUUUCCCUUCAGAGGUAUCCUGGGCUAAAGUUUCUCUUCAGACUUCACUGUAUCACACGUAAUAGUAAUGCAUGUUUAUGCAGUAAAUUAGUUUGCACUGAGGGCUCUGAGUCACUCCUCAAAAUGCAUCUAACAACUCCUGUCUUCCCUUUUAAACUGCUGUCACUCUGGGUUAUUGAAACUGAAUUCAGGAAAGUGCUGGGGGAGCAGGGAGCUGGGGAUGGGGAGAACUUUCCUGUUUUUGUAUCCGUUAGACAAGAACCUAAUUACAGAAGUUGUCUAAUAGAAUUCAAAACAUAUUGACCUAGUUAAUAGUCUCUAGCUACCAAAGAACUCUAAAAAUCAAGAGAAGCCUUUUUCCAAGUAGCUUCUCAAAAUCUUACAGCAAGUAAAAUUCAAGAAGCAGGAUCAUAAAUGGUACUGUGAUUACAAGGAAAACUGUUUCUUCUCUGUUGGGAAUAAAGAAAAUAAUAAAGAGAAGUUAAAACAGGUAGGCACAGUAAAAUUCUAAAGGGCUUUUUUCACCCUCAACUCUUUAAAGAAAACUCAGGUCUGGUCACGUAAAAAAAAAAAAGUCUUGUCCCAUUCUCUGUAUUUGUCAGCAUUUCUAUAUCUUAACUUUGAAAGCCAUUCUAUUCAAUUUAGAUAAUAGUGGUUUCUAAGUGGAGAUGAGGCAUGUUUUUUUUUUUGUUUUGUUUUUUGUAUUUUUCACUUUAACAGAGGUGUGCUUUUAUCACAUACUGCAAGUCUUUUCAUCCUUUGAGGCCUUAGUCCUGCAGUUGGUGCAGUAAAAGAUCUUGUUAAUUUAAGCACAAUGAACAGCGAGAAAUGAGCCAUGGCUGAAUCCCAUGCUGUGCACUGGUAAUUUAUCAGAAAGGAAAGUCUUCUGCCUUGUCAAAUUACUUUCUUCAAUGUACUUGAAGUAGGGGAGAUGCUAGUCUUAGAGGAGCUGAGGGUCAAAGGUUCUAUCAGGAAAGUCUAUCUCUUCUGUCUUUACAACUAAAACACAAAAUAAGCUGUAACAUCCAAGAUGAAUGUUCAAGUACUUGGUCUGUAAGGAGGUAACAGAGCCGAAGGCAUAGGCAAAGUAGAAAUGUGCCUAUGACAAUAGUAUACUACCUGCUGUAGCUGUAGAGCAAGUCUCUCGGGAGGAAGAAAGAAAAAAAAAAAAAAAAGAAAAUAGAAAUACAAAAACCCAGACCAACCAACAGAAACAAACACCGUGUGCUGUAGCCUUCUCAGGGAGGGAGGUAUUGGCACAGGGAGCAAUCAUCUCUUCUGCAUCAGUCAGUCAUUUUAUUUUAUUAGGGAUUUGUAAAACCAGAGAUACUGUGUUAAAUAGCUUGAAGCAGUCUGCACAGUGAAGUAUUUCAUUUUCUAUGCAAGUCAGUCUGACCAUUAGUAAAGAGAAUAAUUUUUAUACUUUUAAGCCUAUCUCCCAUGUACAACGUGUGAAGUUUCCAACAAGAGAAAAAGUACCAGGUCUAUAUUACUAUAUACCAAUAUUGCCCUUGUAUUGUAGCUUUAGGUUUAAUGUAAAUCAACAGUCUGCAUGCUUGGCAUCAAACCUCACACUUAGUUUUACUCAAGAUACUCUGAUAUUACCAGUCCUGUCUUUGUGUUGGAACUGCUGACUGGAAACAAUCAGAUUUGUGAUGUCAGUGCUGUGCUGCAUCACCUGCAAGGCAUGAUAUGUUUCAUAGCACAAUUGGAAGUGACCCAGUUCUAGUAACCCGUGGGUAAAAAUACAUUGUCUGGAACUGCAUAGUUCUGGAGCAAAAACAAUACUGCCAAAGGCAAAUAAAGCACUUGCAAAGAGGCCAAACAGUUUAGGAGAGAGUAGGGAGAUGGACACAUGGAGACAGAUAAAGAAACACAGGCUUUCAGUUCUGUCCUUAUCCGAAAAAGAUUUAUGGCAAAGAGGACGCACCAGAGAGAAGUUUACUGUGAGCAAUGGAGAGAGGUGGGAGAAAAUAAAACAUUUCCAGGAGAGAAGAGUCAGCAAAUAUAGGGAAGUGAUGUGCUAAAAAUCUGAGAUAAAGACUCAGAGGGUCUGACCUUCGCAACAGCGACAGCUGACAAAAGAGCAAGGUAUGAGCUCAUAAUACAUUAGAUAAGAGUGCACUGAAACACAGUUAUGCCAUUACAGAAUUUACACUUGAAAUAUCUACCGGUUUGUCUACAGAGUUUUCUGUUUAUUAUAAAUAAUUUAAUUUGGUAUCCAUUGCUUUUAAGCUUGCCUGCUAAUCCUUCAAUAGCAGCUCCUGCUACAGCCUGAAGGGCAGCAGCAAUCGCAAUUUGUGGCUGCUCAGUGUCCCCAGGAGAGAUCUGGGCUGGCUGUAUAGAGAGGGCUUCUUCUGCUGUUAGUAUGCCAGGAAGCACUGCCUCUGGCCCAGCCAGUGCAUUCACUGAAAGGGUCCUUUCUUCUAUUCCAUUUAUUUUGGUCAAACAACAGAAGUUUGAUUAUAUUUCUUAGGAAACUGUUACUGAAAUAGGUUACAAUUUACAUAUUUCUUGCAAAGUAUUCUCUGUAUUUUUGCAUCUAUAGUCCAGAGCUAAAACAGGACCUAGGCAUAUUAUUCAUGUGCAUUUCUUAAAAUUAAAUCUAUGCAUAGCUCAUGCGUAUGAGCUCUUCAACACAGCAAAUAUACCAAGAACUACAGGAACCACCUGUGUUGGAAUAAGGUCUGUAGGCAUAAACCACCGGCCUCAAUUUUAGACUGCAGAGAUAAAAUGUUAAAACAGUAAAGUCGGUCUUAAAAUGUAGAUAUUUUAAACUGUUCAGAUAUGUGUAUAUUUACACCCAUCAGAAAUUCACAGCAUGGAGAAACUUUUAUCCCAUGCUGCCCCAUAUCAGCACUACAGGUGCACUAAGGUCUUAGAACUUCUUGGUGACAUAUUUACUUUUAUCAUCAAAUACAGCUCAUCACUAGAAACACACAACUUAAAAUAUUUUGAUUCUUUGCAAACCACAAUCAGUCCAAAUAGCUCAAGGUCUUUGUUGACUUUUCCGUACAGAAUGCAAACAAACAUCAGCAACAGUUUUUAGUGUUUAGUACAUCAGUCUGAUUAAUCUCUCUACUGUGCUUCAUUUUUGUAUCUUUCUCUGUAGGUUUAGCAGUUCCCCAUUGUUGGAAAAUGCCUGUUUUUAAUAAGAAACAAGACUAUUAGCUGUACUGGAGUCUUAUGAUGGGACAUAUUUUACUGCUUUUGUAUUUCAGUUGUAAACAUGAAGUUUGCAGUGGAAUAAUGAAAGGGGAGGCUUUUAUACUGUAAUAUUUCUCACAAGUAAAUGUGCAAAGCUUUCUGCUUUUUGGAUUUUAAGACUUAAAUUUUACACUGAGGACAUUACAUCUCUUUUGGGUAUUACAAGUAGUUUUCUAACUCAGCAUUUGAGACGUUUUCCUGAGAUGCCCUUCACACAUAAUGUAAGCAGGAUCAGGCCAAAAAUAUCUGUAUUCCUUUGACAAAGUCAAGAUGGAUGAGACAUCUUACAUUAGAUUUCUGGCAUUAGCAAACAUACAAGCAAAACACAUCCAGGAAAGUCACACCUUCUGCCUUUGAAAGGUGAAAGUGACUAAAAGUAAUGAUGGAAGUGUGAUUGGAGUGGGCAAAGAAGACAAAGCCAGACUCUUCUCAGCGCUAUGCAGUAAAAGGACAGAAAGAAUUGGGCACAAACAGAAGUACAGGAAGUUCCGUCUGAACAUAAGAAAACACAAAAGGAAUAAAAAGAAACAGAAGAAAGAAAACCACAGAUUUUUUUUUUUUUUUUUUUUUUUUACUCUGAAAGUGGUCAAACACUGGGAUAGGUUGCCUAGAAAGGUUGUGGACUCUCCAUGCUUUGGAGAUGCAACUGAAUAUGGUCCUGAGCAACCUGUUGUAGCUGACCCUGAGCAAGGGGUUAGAUUAGGUCUUUAGGUCCCUGCCAGCCUCAACUAUUUUGUGAUUCUGAAGCUGGCAAAAAGUCAAUGCCAUAGCAAGGACUGAUCUUCAUUAGAAAUGAGAGUUUACCUAUUAAUAAGUUGUUAUCAGGAGAAAGUGAAUUCUAAACAUUACCCAGACUUCAAAUAAUAUUUAUUUGCUACAAGAACACUGAGUGGAAAUACAAAUAAGUGAAGCAGAUUAGUUCCAUACUGAUAAUCCUAGUUUCACAUUUUGGUUUUACACUUUAUCAGUUUCUCCAACAGUAAUUUCCCUCAUGGUAUGCUGAAUUUCAACCUUUAAAAAGGUCCCACAAAGCAAGUAUCCCUUUGUUUUCCUUUGCAUUCAUGCAGUUGUCAAGUGCUCUGCUCCCAUGGGCUGUUCGACAUUAAAGCCUCAUCUUCUGUACCCAUAUCGUAACUUGGUGGCAUGGCAGAUCAUUCCUGCCGGCUGGAACAUAUCUAUUGUCCAGUAACUUCCAUCCAGUCCCAUUCCUGAGAGAAACUUAACUCAUUCAUUGCUAGCAAAGUAUCUUUAAAGCAGACCUCUGAAUGAAGCCACGUGUAUUUGUAGGACAAUACAGAAAAAUUCCAGACUCACAUAAUCCUUCUGGCCUACAUUUACUAAAAGUGCCCAAUCCUUCCCAGUAGAAAUAUUUAGGACAAGUCUUAGGAAACUCACUAUUGAAUUAGAUUUGUACUCAAGUCUUACACAGACUUGGAUAAUGUCUGGUGCUCCCCGUGGAUUAGGAAUAACUCUCAAUUUUACGAGCUUUUUCACAUUAAUGGUUUUGUUUCAGGUUCCUAUGGAUGAGGCACAUACUCCAGCAUCCUGAUAUAAAGGCAGCUGGGUGAAUAAGUGACAGAUCUGCAGAAUAGUUUAGGAACUUUUCUGAACAGAAAUCAGAAGUUUAAGGAUGUAACAUGAUUUUUCAGCUACAUCACAUUCUCUGUCAGGGCACUGGGAUAAUCGCCCUAUCUGAGGAAACAUUUCUGGAGCCAGUUUUGCAGCUACUUAGAUAUUCUUCUUUACAGCACCCCACAGGACAACACCUCCACUCCCAACCCAGCCACUUACCAUCACCAACAGACUACACGUGACAGAAAAACAAUACUUCCCCCUGGCUGUGCCAAGGACUUUGUUGUCUUGGUUGACAACAGGAUCAACUAUUGCUCCACCACUCUCUCCCAGGUGAAAAAAGACUGAUUAUCUCUGAGGGAAAGGAGACUAUAGAGGUGUUUACCCGGGAACUUGGUAAUUAGGAAGCAUGAUUCAUACUCCAAAGUGUAUGCAUCUCUUUCCUAGUAAUUCCACUGCAUGUAGCUUCUCAUAACCUUAAUAGAGUUUUGUAACAGUGUCUCAAAUCUUAGACAGACAAACCUGUACCACUGAAGAAGCUUGAUAUCAAAAAGUCAGUUACACACUUCAUGUAAGGUUAGGAAAUUUCAUCACCUAGCAGAUCACCUACACACACAGGACAAAGGCAGCCACUGGACAAAACUGCAGUACAUAUCAGAGCCACAUAAAUGCACCUUGCAGCUAUAGGUUAUACUUAGCUCAAACAAGGUUAGUAAGUUGUUAUGUUUGGCAAGAUUUGUGUCCUGGAUCUUCCCUGUGACACCAUGUGAGCCUCUUAGGAAGUGACGCUCCCUGCUGAAGGUCACCUUCACUUCUAACAGCCCCUUCCCCUGAGAACACACAAGGGGCACAAAUUCCAGGUGCAACUCUUUUGUGGCAUCAAAUGAGGCUACCUUGCACUGCUCAGCUACCCACACAAAAGUAGCUCUCCUUGUGCCCAGCAAUAAGCCAAGAGACUGACAACAAGCAAGUAUUAACAACUGUGGAUGUGAGGCUACAGCCCACUGAGCAGAGGGCACAUCACCACACUCCUUCCUGGUUUGUGCUUCAGGCACGCUUCUGCCCUGCUGUCUGCAAGGGAUGAACUCAAAGUCUGUUUUAGCUGUUCCACGAUGUGAGGCAAUGAAUAUCGAGUACAAAGCUGGGCUAACCAAGCUUAGAUCACAUCUCUGAAAAACCCCAACAACAAUUUCAGACUUUUCUGUUAAAGAUCAUCUGUGGAGGCUUGGCUCUUCCUGCAGCCAAUGCCACCACCACUACCAACCCCAACUAACUGAUCCAAAACUGUCUAACCGAAUUACUGUCUUGGAUCAGCUCCAACACUUUAGGCAAAAUAAUUAAGGCUGUGAGAUUCAGCAUUGACCACAGCUGCUCUUUCAUCAUGACUGAGAAUGCUUCUGCCAACACUCAGCAAGAGCCAUUUGCAUUCAGCAAGCUCUAACAGGUGAUUUGCCCACCUGGGCUUCGGCCUCAGCUUCAGCACAGCUCAGCAGUCCCUACAGGCUGGGCAGCAGGUUAUGUGGAGCCCUCCUUUUUUAACAGCAAAGUUUUGUCACAUCAAGUAGGUGUGGGAGCAGUGCUGGGGUCUCCAGCUUAGCUGUAGCUGUAGCAUCCAGCACAGCAACAGCCAGCUGUGCCUACUGCCCAACUCCUUUCCCAAAAUUAGAUGACUGGGAUGCCAGCAGAAAGCAAAUCUGGCAGGCACAGCUCUGCUAUGGGCAAGGGGCUGCUAGAAUGGCUCAAGCUAAAGUGCACUCAACCAGGGUAUCAUCUAGAACCACAGUUACAUAAAUAAUAUGGUGAAAUCAGAGAAACCUCGGACAAACUUAGGCUGCCUCUGGCAUUUCAAGAUAACGUCUGUUAUUGUUAUUGUUUUUACUGGGAUGAUAAAUUGAGGUUUAUUGCUUGCUGGAAAUUGCUAAUGGUUAGGACAGGAAGGUUUGACCAAAAACAGAGCAAAGAUUGAAGUCAGAUGGUUUCAGUUUAUGGAACUGUGCAUUUUGAUAAGGGGAUGACAGAAAUAAUGAUGGGAAUUUGAGCAGCACCACUCUGAGCUACCCCUUCUCAUUCUUCAGCUCUGCAUGUGAGAAAAUGAGCACUUUUAAUAUGAGCCUCUUACCCAAGUGCUCUUCUCAGUGUGUUUCUCAUCUAUUAUGUCAAGGCAAGGAAGGGCUCAUCCUUACAGGCAGCUGAGGAACCUGGUGAGACAGCCACAAGCAACACACAGCAACACUUAGGGUUGUGCAAACAUUGGAAAACUAUACUUGUGGGACCUCCUGGACUUCACAGCAACAGUUUAAACAGGCUGUGACCUGCUUCCCUCUACGUGGCUCCUCAGCUAAGCAUUGUAGUGAAGACACAGAACUUUGGCUGGCCCUCUUACUUCAAAAAAAAAAAAAAAAAGUGCUACUCUUCUGUUACUUGCAGUGAGAAAAAGCCACAGCCUUCUCAUUUACCUUGUGUUCUUUCAAAUGCUUCCUGAUUUUGCCCUGAAGAGGCUGAGAAAUGCAAGUAGAGAAAUCAUUUAGCUUUAACAGAAAGGAAAUGAGCUGGAAAAUCUUGUUCACUGUUUUCUGUCCAGUACAUGCAAUGCUUGGCAAGGUCAGGUUCUCACUGUACCACUCAGGAUAGCUAAUUUUGUAGCAUGACAACAUUUAUGGCCAGAAAUAGAAAAGGAAUAGCAGAGGGAAUUAAAAAAAUAUCAGAAGACAUAGCUGUUUGGUCACUUGUGGUGGUAUCAAGGAAAAUAAAAUCUGUCAUUUCUUUUCAUUCGUUUGUUAGACCAUUCUUUUCAUCUUUGGGACUGUGUUCAAUUUCCAGUUGCCAAAUACCACCAGCAAUGUGAGCUGUAGCCAUUUCUGCUCCUCACAGGAGCACAGAAGUUCUGGAAGAUCUUUUCCUCUGAUAAGGAUUCCCUAAAUGCGAAGAAACUGGCAGCAUAACGCAUGACUUCCAUAGCAAUCCCAGUGGAUGCAGACACGAAGGACCAAUACACAAACCCAAAGCAGCCCCUGUCCGCAGGCAGUGUGCUUCUGUGCACAGACCAGGCUGAGGUCUGGCUUCAGGAAUCUGCAGCUCUAUCCCCUCCUGCCACCUGGGUUUUCUGUCAGUCCCUUUUCUGCACAGUACAUCAGUUCACAGACACUUCUGCAACAUUCAACUUCCUUUUACCUCCACUGUGAUAAAGGA